UUUAGGAAACCCUAAAAAAGGUUCCUUCUCUUCUCCCUUUUUUCUUCUUUCUCUUCUAUGUUUAUGUUACAUUAUCAUUGUUAACAUAUGUAACUAAUAAGUUAUUGUUUAUUUUUAUAAGCGUUUUGAUUUUUAUGUUAUCAUCUCACUUUUUUUUUUUCAGAAACCUCAAUUCAAAGUUUGCUUUAGAUCUCAAGAAAAUAUGUUAGACUGACCAUGUACAAGAGAUGAUCCACCAAAAACAAAUGAUGCAAAAGAAAACAAAAUAGGAAGCAUGAACACAACAAAUUAAUCCCUUGACUAGCACAAAAGAGGGAGGGUAGACCACUCGUAAAACAAAGAAGAGGAAGCCUUAAAGCCAGAAAUCAUUUCCAUCCUUGAACUUUUCUAAACUCCAGAAGUGUAGAUCCAUCUUGAGACAAAGGAGAUAAAAAUCAUCCUUUCAUAAGGAUCCAAAUUUAACACUCCAAUUUUUGGUUGUAUGUUUGUUAAUAUGUGUGCACGUACAAAAUUGAUCCAUAUUUAAGCCAAAAUAUUUAAACCCUUGAAGCUACAAUUUUGGAUAAUAUUUUCUACUUCUAGAGUUUAUUCUCUCAAACAUUUAAAUGCACUUAAUUUCUCAUCAAUCCUGGAUCAAUUCUUG
rnacentral:lncRNA from 1 species